rnacentral:rRNA from 1 species
AUUGAACGCUGGCGGCAGGCUUAACACAUGCAAGUCGAGCGAGAGGCGGACGGGUGAGUAAUGUCUGGGAAACUGCCUGAUGGAGGGGGAUAACUACUGGAAACGGUUGCUAAUACCGCAUACCAUACGAUGUGCCCAGAUGGGAUUAGCUAGUAGGUGGGGUAAUGGCUCACCUGGGCGACGAUCCCUAGCUGGUCUGAGAGGAUUACCGGCCCAACUGGAACUGAGACACGGCCCAGACUCCUAGGGGAGGCGGCAGUGGGUAAUAUUGCACAAUGGGCGAAAGCCUGAUGCAGCCAUGCCGGGGGUGUGAAGAAGGCCUUCGGGUUGUAAAGCACUUUCAGCGGGGAGGCGUUACUCGCAGAAGAAGCACCGGCUAACUCCGUGCCAGCAGCCGCGGUAAAC